UUAUUAUCGUUUCUGUGCAAUCACAGUAACUCCUGUUUAUUGAAUGGCUACUGUGUACUAGGCUCUGAAAGUACAUAAGCUGAUGUAAUUCUCAUAGCAGCUCUGUGGGAUGUGUAGGGGUUCUCUUGUCCUGAUUUUUAGAGGAGGAAAUAGGAGCUUAGUUGAAGUUCACAGGUAUGAAGCCUGGGCAGUCUCACUCCAAGGCUGAUUGGUUGUUUUGUUUUAUUUUGUUUUUUCCCAGUACUGGAAAGUGAACCCAGGACCUUACACAUGUGGGACAGGUGCUGCAUCACUAAGCUACAUCCUCAGCCCUGCUGAUGUUCUUAAAUCACUAGAUUCUGCUAUUUAGAUGGCCGAAUGGAGGAUCAGUAUGGAGCCAGACGCAGAGAAAUUUAAUACAUUCAGGAUUACUUUAUUAAGUGGCAGGGCCGGAAUUCAAAUAUGUUUGCUAGUUAACUUGUCUGUGUUGGUACCUUGAGAAUAUAGGGGAAAGUUCAGUCUUCUAAGAGGGAGUUAAACCCGGGAAGGUAGCCAGGCAUGGUGGUGCACAGCUGUAAUCGCUACUACUUGGAAUGCUGAGGCAGGAGAAUCACAAGUUCAAGACCAGUAUCAGCAAUUUAAUAAGACCCUGUCUCAAAAUAAAUAAAUAAAUAGAUAGAUAGAAAGGGCUGGGGAUGUAGCUCAGUAGUAAAUCACCCCUGCAUUCUAUCCUCAGUUCAACGGAAACAAAAAAGCAUGGGGAUAUAUUCGUUGCCUCGUAGACAAGGACUGCACCUUUGAUAACUGCGCAAGUGUUAUCUUCCUUGGGCCCGUGGAAGGUUCCAUGAACAGGGGCGUGGAAAUGCAGUCCUCACCCCUCCUUCUGCUCUUCCAGCAAGGUUCCUCUAAGGAGUUCUCUGUCCUUGCUCUUCUGCUGUUCUUUCUACCUUGAACUCUGUAGCUAGAUGUUCGUCCCCACUGUGCCAAUGAACUUACGCCUGUCAGAGUUGCUGUGGUACAUCAUCUUGCAAAGCACACAGUCAGGUCUUCAGUGUUUGUUUGUUCCCAGUGCUGGGAGUCAGACUCAGGGCCUGAGAGUGCUGGGGUGCUCAAUGC
rnacentral:lncRNA from 1 species